rnacentral:lncRNA from 1 species
AAAAUAAGGAGAGUUAAGUAAUAGGAAGUUAGGAAAAGAGAAGUCAGAAGCAAUUUACGUGAAAACAGACUUUUGGGAGAAAAGGGAGAGAAAAGCAAGUAGAGCCAAGAACUGAUUUUGCUGUGCAUUUCUUUCUGCAAAAUUAAGGUAAGGGUGAGACUAACAUUCAAUCUUAUUAAGUCUGUAAUUCUGAUGAUUAAUUUAAUAAGAGUAGGAUUAAUUUAAGGAAGUUGGAGAAUUAGGUUAAAGUGAGGAAUUGAUGAUUUAUUCAUAGUGGGUGCCAAUUUUGUUGUCGUGCCUGAUAACAUGAUCCGUGAGAAUACUAGGAUUUGUAUGAUUCUUAUUAUGUAAUUGAUUCUUGUCAUCGUACUUGGUUUUUGAGAGACAAACUUGCUCUUUUAAUUUAUAUAUAUGAUAUGGAUGCCUAUUGCUUUAUCGUAGCCUAUUGUAAAUCGGUGUAAAUUGGAUGCCAAUUGCUUUGAAUUAUUUGCUUUGAAUUAUUCACUAUGCCUAUUACUUUGUUAUUGAUCCUUUUUGAUCGUUGCCUUUUUAUUGGUCAAGAUCCUUCUUUGAAUGCCUAUCUGUUUCUUAUUUUCCUUUAUCAGCAUGGAUCAGGCAUGUAUAGAAUACAAAGUUAAUUUUUAUUUUAAAAUAAAUAAUUGUGAAUGCUUCGAUUUAUUUUGUUGUUCUUUUUGUUUUAAUUGCAACAUGGUUCAAUUAGUCAUUCGGUUGUCCAAUUCUAGAGGUCAUAGGAUCUCUUAAAUUCAACUAUUCCACUUUUUAUGUUCCCUGAUUAAACCUUGGUGAAUUUGGUUUGCCAAAGGUCUUCAAAAAGCUUGAUAAUGAUAUGCCUUUAUAUAGAUAAAACAUGAUAUAGCUUUUGUUCGAAUGAGUUCAUGUUGGUGCUAAUUUUUAUAUCAAAGGGAUUAAUAAUAUUUGGCUAGAUGUUGUCGGAUCAUAUUUUGGAUGAAAUUUAUGUUUUGCUUUUGAUCAAUGAAGUUUAUGGUUGUGUGUUCAAGUAAUUUGGUUAUUAUUUGUUUAUAGAUUUUUAGAUAAUCAAUUGAUUGUGAUGAUUUUGAAUGAAAGUGAAGUUGAAUAAUAUAGGUUGCUUUUUCUGAUUUUUCUUUUCAUCUCUGCCCCGAAUUUGAAAUGAAAUAUGGUAUUGAUUGGUACAGAAUUGGUCUCAGGUGUUGGUCUAAGUUGUAAAGUUGUAAGUUAUCUUUCCAAAGUAUUGGAGUCUUAAGUUGUUAAUGUUUUCUAAGUUGUUGAAGUCGUAGUUGAAGCUGUUAUUGGUGAUUGUUUAUGUUUAGGUGUUUUAUAAGAGGUGGUGUACUCUUACGUUGUUGUUGUAUAAGAGGUGGUGUACUCUUACGUUGUCGUUAUAAGAGGUGGUGUACUCUUACGUCGUUUUUUAUAAGAGGUGGUGUACUCUUACGUGUCGUCUUUAUAGGAGGUGGUGUACUCUUGCGUUGUUAUUUUAUAAGAGGUGGUGUACUCUUAAUUUAUCGUUUUUCUAAGAGGUGGUGUACUCUUACGUUGUUGUUGUAUAAGAGGUGGUGUACUCUUACGUUGUCGUUUAUAAGAGGUGGUGUACUCUUACGUCGUUUUUUUAUAAGAGGUGGUGUACUCUUACGUGUCGUCUUUAUAAGAGGUGGUGUACUCUUACGUUGUUAUUUUAUAAGAGGUGGUUACUCUUACUUUAUCGUUUUUCUAAGAGGUGGUGUACUCUUACUUUGUUGUUGUCUAUAAGAGGUGGUGUACUCUUACUUUGUUUAUGUUGAUGAGUAUGACGAGGUUAUGAUGAUCUUCUAUAGUGUUGAAUGCGAGGUUGUUAUGAUAUUACAUGAGGUUACCUACGAGUUGUUAAAUGUACUUGAUGAGGGUUAUGUUAAGUUGUCUUCUAUUCAUGAGCACUAAGGGGAUGUUAAGGAGAAUUAUUAUUGAGUGUAUAUGAUGAUGUCUAUGUUGUUAAUUGUAAUUGAUGAAUUUUAUGCUUAUUAUUAUUGUUUGAGAAAUCUCACCCCUUCUGCUUGGAAAUGUUGCCCUUUGUAUGGGUAACUUGCAGGUAUUUGAAGAUUAGUAGGAGUGGUGGCUCAAGUGUCUAGGGCUCUGAUACGUACGGGAUGUGAUUUUCUUAUUGUUUUUCAUUCCUAUGUAUCAAUUUUUGAAUAUUGCUGAUGUAGCCCUAUGGUUGUUGAAUUUAUGUUGAUAAGGCUUUUAUGCCAAGAUUUAAUUACG